CCUACGGGUGGCAGCAGUAGGGAAUCUUCCACAAUGGGCGAAAGCCUGAUGGAGCAACGCCGCGUGGGUGAAGAAGGUCUUCGGAUCGUAAAACCCUGUUGUUAGGGAAGAAAGUGCGUGUAAGUAACUGUUCACGUCUCGACGGUACCUAACCAGAAAGCCACGGCUAACUACGUGCCAGCAGCCGCGGUAAUACGUAGGUGGCAAGCGUUAUCCGGAUUUAUUGGGCGUAAAGGGACCGCAGGCGGUUUUUUAAGUCUGAUGUGAAAGCCCACGGCUUAACCGGAGUAGUGCAUUGGAAACUGGGAGACUUGAGUGCAGAAGAGGAGUGUGGAAUUCCAUGUGUAGCGGUGAAAUGCGUAGAUAUAUGGAAGAACACCAGUGGCGAAGGCGGCUCUCUGGUCUGUAACUGACGCUGAGGUGCGAAAGCGUGGGUAGCAAACAGGAUUAGAUACCCGAGUAGUC
rnacentral:rRNA from 1 species